rnacentral:pre_miRNA from 1 species
GCAUUUAGGAGCUGACCCAAAGCCCACUGAAGUCAAUAAGAGUCUUUCCAUUGACUUCAUUGGGUUUUGGAUCAGGUCCCUCGC